rnacentral:lncRNA from 1 species
AUCAUGCAGGACAGUGAAGGGAGAGCUGAAUUUGAACUCCUGCCUGUCUGUUUCACUCCCAAACCUGUGUCCUCAGAGCUGAGGCACGAUGCUGCUGGGAGAAGUGGAGAAGACCGUGACCGGUCACAAAGUCCCUCUGUUCACAGGACAGCUCUGGGUAUCAUCAAGAUCCCUGGCAGUCACUUGGAAGGCUGGACUGAGCGCAGCUGAUUCCCUCAGACGGCUCUGGAUGGGGCCGGUGCACACUGGGCCUGUCAGAGGCAUGGAACGAAGCCCUGAGAGACCUUGUUUGCUGAUAAGCACAGGACUCGACCAGAUCCAGGUCCUUGCAGUCAUCCCUCGGGCAGGUAGAGACAGACCUGACCUCUGCACUGCAGAACAGGGAGCACAGGCUUUGGAGCUAAGGCCACAUCUGGUGCGCUGUCAGGUAAGCCACUUCUCCUCUGGAGCCUAUUUCCU